AUAGGUCCAAAAUUCUGGCCAUAUGAUUCCUAUGGAUCAACUGAUGAUAGCUGAAGAGGUGGACCGAGAGAUCGCUUUCUGGAGUCAUAGCUAAGCCUAAAAACUUGGUUUUCUCAAUCUGAUAUCACAAGUAUGGUUCAUUGAGUUACUGAAUACAGUUCUCAAUCUGAUAUCAUGAAAGUUCUUGAAUAAAAUAAAGCUUCUACAUGUAGAGGCAUCUUGUUUUAAAAUGCUCAAGCAAAGGGAUGGCAUGUUUGAGAUGGAUUUAUCCGUCGCAAUUGUCUGCUUUUCUAGUAGUGAUACGUGAG
rnacentral:lncRNA from 1 species